AGGAGCUGGACUGGAAUGAGGGGGCUUUCAAAGCAACACGAUAAAAUACAGGAUAUAAAUGUUUAAUACAUGUUUAUUCUCGAAUACAGCAUGAUAAAGUAAUAAUUUCUAUUUAUAUCGUGUGUUUUAUCGUGUUGCUUUGAGAGCCCCCUCAUUCCAGUCCAGCUCCCC
rnacentral:miRNA from 1 species